rnacentral:rRNA from 2 species
AUGCUGGAGGUAUCAGAAGUGCGAAUGCUGACAUAAGUAACGAUAAAGCGGGUGAAAAGCCCGCUCGCCGGAAGACCAAGGGUUCCUGUCCAACGUUAAUCGGGGCAGGGUGAGUCGACCCCUAAGGCGAGGCCGAAAGGCGUAGUCGAUGGGAAACAGGUUAAUAUUCCUGUACUUGGUGUUACUGCGAAGGGGGGACGGAGAAGGCUAUGUUGGCCGGGCGACGGUUGUCCCGGUUUAAGCGUGUAGGCUGGUUUUCCAGGCAAAUCCGGAAAAUCAAGGCUGAGGCGUGAUGACGAGGCACUACGGUGCUGAAGCAACAAAUGCCCUGCUUCCAGGAAAAGCCUCUAAGCAUCAGGUAACAUCAAAUCGUACCCCAAACCGACACAGGUGGUCAGGUAGAGAAUACCAAGGCGCUUGAGAGAACUCGGGUGAAGGAACUAGGCAAAAUGGUGCCGUAACUUCGGGAGAAGGCACGCUGAUAUGUAGGUGAAGCGACUUGCUCGUGGAGCUGAAAUCAGUCGAAGAUACCAGCUGGCUGCAACUGUUUAUUAAAAACACAGCACUGUGCAAACACGAAAGUGGACGUAUACGGUGUGACGCCUGCCCGGUGCCGGAAGGUUAAUUGAUGGGGUCAGCGCAAGCGAAGCUCUUGAUCGAAGCCCCGGUAAACGGCGGCCGUAACUAUAACGGUCCUAAGGUAGCGAAAUUCCUUGUCGGGUAAGUUCCGACCUGCACGAAUGGCGUAAUGAUGGCCAGGCUGUCUCCACCCGAGACUCAGUGAAAUUGAACUCGCUGUGAAGAUGCAGUGUACCCGCGGCAAGACGGAAAGACCCCGUGAACCUUUACUAUAGCUUGACACUGAACAUUGAGCCUUGAUGUGUAGGAUAGGUGGGAGGCUUUGAAGUGUGGACGCCAGUCUGCAUGGAGCCGACCUUGAAAUACCACCCUUUAAUGUUUGAUGUUCUAACGUGGACCCGUGAUCCGGGUUGCGGACAGUGUCUGGUGGGUAGUUUGACUGGGGCGGUCUCCUCCUAAAGAGUAACGGAGGAGCACGAAGGUUGGCUAAUCCUGGUCGGACAUCAGGAGGUUAGUGCAAUGGCAUAAGCCAGCUUGACUGCGAGCGUGACGGCGCGAGCAGGUGCGAAAGCAGGUCAUAGUGAUCCGGUGGUUCUGAAUGGAAGGGCCAUCGCUCAACGGAUAAAAGGUACUCCGGGGAUAACAGGCUGAUACCGCCCAAGAGUUCAUAUCGACGGCGGUGUUUGGCACCUCGAUGUCGGCUCAUCACAUCCUGGGGCUGAAGUAGGUCCCAAGGGUAUGGCUGUUCGCCAUUUAAAGUGGUACGCGAGCUGGGUUUAGAACGUCGUGAGACAGUUCGGUCCCUAUCUGCCGUGGGCGCUGGAGAACUGAGGGGGGCUGCUCCUAGUACGAGAGGACCGGAGUGGACGCAUCACUGGUGUUCGGGUUGUCAUGCCAAUGGCACUGCCCGGUAGCUAAAUGCGGAAGAGAUAAGUGCUGAAAGCAUCUAAGCACGAAACUUGCCCCGAGAUGAGUUCUCCCUGACUCCUUGAGAGUCCUGAAGGAACGUUGAAGACGACGACGUUGAUAGGCCGGGUGUGUAAGCGCAGCGAUGCGUUGAGCUAACCGGUACUAAUGAACCGUGAGGCUUAACCUU